rnacentral:rRNA from 1 species
UACGAACCGUACAAACGUUAUUCGGAAUCACUGGGCUUAAAGGGUGCGUAGGCGGCCAUGUAAGUGAGGUGUGAAAUCCCUCGGCUCAACCGAGGAACUGCGCUUCAUACUGCAUGGCUUGAGGGAGACAGGGGUAAGCGGAACUGAUGGUGGAGCGGUGAAAUGCGUUGAUAUCAUCAGGAACACCGGUGGCGAAAGCGGCUUACUGGGUCUCUUCUGACGCUGAGGAGCGAAAGUGUGGGGAGCGAACAGG